rnacentral:lncRNA from 1 species
UUACAUUUUUUUUAACAAAUUAAUUAGCACUUUUUGUUGCACAUGCAUCUACGACGAAAGCCCUGGCAUUGGCCUCCGGUGAAUUUCUCCACUUUGCAAGUGUUUUUACAGUUGGUAGACGAAAAGCACAACCCCUUGAACUUGCCGCUCGCAGCCUCACAUGUCCUUUCCUUAGCUACCUUGUCUGACUUACUCCUUGCCUCAACACCCAUUGGUCCCAUCUCUGUAAAAUCAAAUUACAUUAAAUAUAAAAAUCAGCUUUUUGUCAAAUAAGAUGUUUUAUUCAAAACAUCAUAAGAAGUUAAUUAUUAAAAAGAGGUAUAAUUACCGGUAGCAGCGAAAAGCAGGACAAGAACGAAGGCAGCUGAAACAAGACGCAUAGAAUGCUCCAUUUGAAUAUAUGUUUCUUUGGUGUGUGAUAUGUGUGUUUGUGUGUGUGUGCUUGUGUAUGAUAAGAGAGAUCUCAAUCGCUAAUGCAAAGAACAAUAACCAUGGAAGACUUAUUAUAUAGGGGAUAUAUGGCAGAUUAAAGAGGAUUGAUCUCCGUAAAGAAAGGUAGCUCCACGCCCAAAAUAAAAGGUUGAAAUAUUCAGCUUAAUUGGCACCAUAAACCAAAUUCCUAUUUUUAUUGACUAAGUUCUCCAAACUACAAUUUUCUAUGCACAUUAGGUUCUCUUUUUCAAGCACAUUUAACAUUUCCUUUAAAAUAAUAUUUGGGUUAUAAGCACAUUUGGCUUAUUAUUCAGAUUUUUAUAUGUAAACGAAGCGCCAUAUAUAUCUCAUCGGAAAGACCAUAGUUCUUAUAACGAUAUAAUUUUUUUUUUAAAUUUUUUUGUUUGUUUAUACCAUAAUAAUUUAAAUUAUAUAGAUAAGGAUUUGAACAUUAGGUAUAGAGAAGAUUAUUACGUUACAUUAGCUAACUUGGCUAAGCCUAGUAAAAUGAAUUUAAAAGUAGAAUAGUGGAGGAAAUAAUGAUUAAUUAUAUUUCAAACAUAGGACAUUACAAAGACUUAAAUUUGUUGACAAAUAAAGAAGUUACAUAUAGCAUGUCAUAUUGUAUAAAAUAAUUCAUGACGGUGCUACUUAACAAACAAGAACAUUAGAAACCAUAACAACGAUACAAUAUUAACAAUCCAACUAUGACUUGGGUCAUUUAUUUAUUCCGGCUAGCUCCACACUAGUACCAAAGUACAUAUGUCCAUGAACACACUGUUAAUUAAGUGAUUAGUGAUCAGCUUAUCAAUAGCUUAAUUAAUUAGCUAAUUAACAAUGUCCAGUGCAAAAGCAUAUACGGCGUAAUUAAGCCACGACAGUGGCCUCUGGGGUGUAAGAAGGAUGAAGUUCAAAAGUGUGAUCCAAAUGAAGAGACUAUCAAUGGUUAAAAUAAAAGCCAUGUCAAAAGAUUAAAUCAGCUAAAAUACAUUUAGUUAGUUAGUUGGAAUCUGGAGAGGUUAGAUAACUUGGUUAGAAGAAGUUAGUUGAGAUAAGGAGGUUAUGAAUUACUUGCUUCACAAGUCUUGUAGCUGAACACAUAUAUAAGUGAGCGUUGUAAAUCAUACGGUAUUAAGAAAGAAAGCUUUUAUCUGAUAUACAUCUCUAUCUCUUUUUCUCUCUCUGUUCAACCUUUUCUAUUUCUCUCUGUGAAACUAUCUUAACAUGGUAUCAGAGCCGGACGAUCCGGUGCUUCCGCUUCCUACACAUUUUCUUCUCUUCUCUACCCUCUAGUUUGCAUCUUUCUGUGAUAUUUGGCGUUGGAAACAUACCAGUCGCUUCGAAGGUUGGUUUCUUCUCGUUUGCCCACCAACUGUUUGAUCAAAAGUCUCAAUCAAAGUUCGUCACGCAAAUCUGCAAAAUGGUCACUGCUGCUCAAUUGCAAAUUGUUCAGUUUCCUAUUACUGGUCUUCUCUCCACCGUCUCCACUUCUGUUACAGUAAAACUCGAUGAUUCAAACUAUCUUACAUGGAGCUUUCAAGUUCGAUUGCUUCUGGAAAGUCAUGGCAUUAUGGGGUUUAUCGAUGGUUCACGAAAGUGUCCACCAAGAUUCAAUGAAGAUUCUAACACUGAAGGGAUUGAAACUGAUGACUAUUUAGUCUGGAAAAUGCACGAUCGUGCACUAAUGCAAUUGCUCAUAGCCACAUUAUCAACGACUGCCAUUUCAUGCAUCAUUGGGUGCCAGAGUUCUGCAUAAAUGUGGUUGAAUCUUACUGAGCAUUUUUCUGCGGUGACAAAAGCUACAAUCUUUCAGAUGAAGACAGAGCUUCAGAAUAUCAAGAAAGGGUCUGAAUUCGUUUCUGUUUAUCUUCAAAAGAUUAAGGAUGCAAGGGAUUAUCUUGCUGCAGCUGGAGUAUUAUUUGAUGAUGAAGAUAUCAUUAUUCUUGCAUUGAAAGGAUUACCUUCAGAUUUCAACACGUUCCGAUGUGUGAUCAGAGGACGGGAAAAUGGAAUAUCUCUCAAAGAUUUCAGGUCUCAACUUUUGGCAGAAGAAGCAAUCAUCAAUCAAUCGUUUGACAGUUCUCCUGGUUUGUCCUUUGGUAGUACUAUGGAGGACCAAGUUCUGCCAGUCAUAGUCAAGGGUCUACUCACGGUAGUGGAUCGUAUAACACUUUCAAUGGUGGUUAUCACACUUAUGGUAAAGGGAGUUCUUUCAGAGGCAGAGGGAAAGGCCGUCUUCAGUACAAUUCAACUCCAAGAUUUUCUAAUGGUAAUCCCGGUAUUCUUGGUACUCCAAAACCAUACCAGUCCUACUGUCCGGAUCACCCAUCAGAAAUCCCCACCUGUCAAAUAUGCAACAAAAAGGGUCAUGUUGCUGCAGAUUGCUUCCAAAGACAUAACACCACCGCCUCAAACUCUCCUAUUCAAUGCCAGAUAUGUUGGAAAUAUGGACACUCAGCCCUUCAAUGCUACCACAUGAGUAAUUUUGCCUAUCAAGGGCGGCCCCCAACUCCUAAUCUCACAGCUAUGCAUGCAAAUCAUCAACCUUCAGCACCAACUUAGCAAUUUUGGAUUGCAGAUACUAGGGCUACAUCACACAUGACCUCUGAAUUGGCAAACCUGGAUCUAUCUACUCCAUAUCAAGGGUCCGAUACAAUUACUACUGCUAGUGGUGCAGGUUUGCAUAUUUCAAAUAUUGGCACUUCUACAUUGGUUGCCCCACAUCAUUCUCUCACUCUUAAGAAUGUUUUACAUGUUCCAAAGCUUUCCCAGCAUUUGUUAUCAAUUUAUCAACUAUGCAAGGACAAUAAGUGUCGAUUCAUUUGUGAUGAUGUUUCUUUUUGGGUUCAGGACAAAUCCACAGGGAAAAUACUCAUCCAGGGGCUGUGUAAAGCUGGUUACUAUCUUAUACCUUUCAUCUCAUCCCACAAGCAGUCAUCCUCAUCAUCUGCAUCUCAUUCAUGUUUCCUUGCAAAACCGGUUCAUUCAAGUAUAUGGCACAAAAGGCUAGGGCACACAUCCAACGCAAUUACUUCUGCAAUCCUUCAUCAAUCUCAAGUUUCUGCAUCAUUAGAUACAUGUUCAUCACCUUGUACACCAUGUUUAGAGGGCAAAUUUACCAAAUUACCUUUUCGUAUUCCUGUUUCUAAAUCUGUACACCCUUUAGAGAAAAUCCACAGUGAUGUAUGGGGCCCUGCUCAUUUGCUAUCUUAUGAAGGAUUUAGAUAUUAUGUAACCUUCAUAGAUGAUUGUACUCGUUAUACAUGGAUUUUUCCAUUACGAAAUAAAACAGAAGUCUUUGCAACCUUUGUUCAGUUUCAUGCUUAUUUGAGUACCCAAUUUUCUGCUGUAGUCAAAAUAUUCCAAAGUGAUGGUGGUGGUGAAUAUACAAGUAAUAAGUUUCAACAGUUUUUGGCACAACAUGGCAUUUUACAUCACAAAUCAUGUCCUUAUACACCUGAAUAGAAUGGUUUAGCAGAACGAAAACAUAGGCACAUUGUCGAAAUUGCAAUCACCUUUAUUCAAACUGCAAAACUGCCUAACCAAUUUUGGGUUCAUGCUUGUGCUACUGCUUCUUAUCUGAUCAAUCGAAUGCCAUGUGCUUUAUUACAUAUGAAAUCCCCUUUUCAAAUGCUAUAUCACACUGUUCCUGACAUUAAACAUCUCCGAGUCUUUGGUUGUGCGUGUUUUCCUCUGCUAAAACCAUACAAUACCUCUAAAUUUCAGCCUAAAACAGCCACUUGUGUGUUUUUGGGAUAUGCUAGUCAAUACAAGGGCUACAUAUGUCUUGAUUUUAUUACGGGCAAAUUAUAUGUCUCUAGACAUGUGUUGUUUGAUGAAGCUAGUUUUCCAUACUCAAAUCCCAUAUUUUCUUCUUCUUUUCAAAUGUUUCCUGCAUCAUCUCAGUUACAUUCAUCACAAAGUCCAGUGCAUCCACCAUAGUUCACACCAAUCAUUACAUUAUCAAAUCAAGUAUCAUCACCCUCAUCUCAUUCAUUAUCAUCUCCGACCACAGAAUCUUUGCCUAUGCAUUCAUCUAGUGCUUCAGAAUCUCUUUCUGCAUCUCGAGCCUCAAAAUCAUUGGAUACAGUUGCAUCUCGAGCCUCAGAGUCCAUUUCUUUACCUUCCCAUGAACACACUGCAGUACAUGCACCCAGGGACUUAUCACCAAAUCCCAUGCCCUUCUCUAGUGUUGGUACAUAGCACCCUAUCCAUGUGGAUCCUGAUUUUCACCCUGAGAGUCUAAGUGUGGUUUUACCUAUACCACUGAAUGUUCAACCUAUGCAGACAAGGUCGAAGAAUGGGAUGUUCAAACCGAAAGUGUUUUUAGCCACAGUUACUUCUGAACCUAAAACAUUUAAAAGUGCAACACUGAUUCCUGAAUGGCAUCAUGCAAUGAAAGAGGAAAUAUCAGCUCUUCAUUCUCAAAAGACUUGGACUUUGGUACCCUUACCACCUGCUAAGAAUUUAGUCGGGUGUAAAUGGAUUUACAAAAUCAAGAAACAUGCAGAUGGCUCCGUGGCAAGGUAUAAGGCACGGCUUGUAGCACAGGGAUAUAGUCAAGAAGAGGGAGUUGAUUACUUAGAGACUUUUAGUCCGGUAGUGAAACCUACAACUAUACGACUGAUAUUUGCCUUAGCUGCUCAAUUCAAGUGGACUCUUUGGCAGUUAGAUGUUAAAAAUGCCUUUCUCCAUGGCAUCCUUUAAGAGGAAGUGUAUAUGGUGCAGCCUCCGGGGUUUGAAAGUACAUCACAUCCCUCAGACUAUGUUUGCAAACUUCACAAAUCAUUAUAUGGCCUAAAGCAGGCUCCUCGAGCCUGGAAUGAGCGAUUUACCAGUUUCUUACCCAGUUUGGGAUUUCAGGUAUCCUCGGCUGAUCCGUCUUUGUUUGUACAACAGUCUACAAAGGGCACUCAACUAAAAUACAUAUAGUUAGUUAGUUGGAAUCUGGAGAGGUUAGAUAACUUGGUUAGAAGAAGUUAGUUGAGAUAAGGAGGUUAUGAAUUACUUGCUUCACAAGUCUUGUAGCUGAACACAUAUAUAAGUGAGCGUUGUAAAUCAUAUGGUAUUAAGAAAGAAAGCUUUUAUCUGAUAUACAUCUCUAUCUCUUUUCUCUCUGUUCAACCUUUUCUAUUUCUCUCUGUGAAACUAUCUUAACAUGGGGAAGCCCUCAGUUUGGCAAACAACAACAUAAUUACUUUUUCUCACGUAGGUUCCCAUGAAGCGAUUAGUUUGAGACUCCAUGUCCUACCCUCAACAACCAUCGUCCGUUUAAACAAUUAUCAAAACAAAAUAUGGUAAAUAUGAAUGCUUAAAAUCGUAAUAAUAUAUGUUAACAAUGAAAUUGAGUAACAAUAUUGAGGAAGAAGAAGUAUUACUGGUGGCCACCAAAAGCAACAGGAAGACGCAGGUAGUUGGGAGAAAACGCAUGGACCGUUUUCUAUGUAUCUGUAACAAGUUUGUAGUUAAGAUUUCAAACUUAGGGUAACUCAGAAUGAUAUUAUUGAUAUAUAUAGGUUCUUAUAAAUUCAUAAUAUAGGAAUACCCAAGGAUGAAACCAAAGAUCUAUAUGGACAUGGGCAUCCUAUAAAACAAAAUCAUACAUAUUAAAAAGCUCAAGAAUUUACUAACAAAACACAUAUAUUAACCCAUAAAAUUUUUCGUAUAACAUAUUACAAUAUCACACGACGCAUUUUCAAGUUUUGAAAGUAUUGCAUGACAAUUUCAUUACCAAUACCAUCAAAUAUCUCUUCUUCUUUUUUAAAUAUCCAUGUUAUUAUUCAUCCAUAAUUUCCUUCUGAUUUUUGAAUUGAUUAUUUGAAAAUUUCAUAGCUUAAAAUGCUCUAUCACGUAAAAUUACUAUAUGUACAAUUUUUUUCACAAAAAAAACUGAGUUGGGGCAUCCGCCUCUUGGGCCCAAGGUGGCUCCGUCCUUAGCAAUACCACACAUGCUAUGUAGAGAAGUGAGAGAAAAAUAUGAAAGUGUUUUUUUUUUUCAAAAAAAAUGUGGAAGAGUCUUUUGAAAUGUCAUCAAGAAAACAUUAUCUUAAAAGACCAUUUCUUCUAAAAUAAAGUAAAAAACAAUUAAUUAAGUCCUUGCUUAAAAGUUGCUUAAGCAACUUCGAACCUUUACUAAUUUUUUUCUGGUGCAUCAACCUCACCUUGUCUUACAUAUGCUGUUACCGGUUUAAAAGUCAAAAGAAUAUAAUACAACCGAAGGUGUGGAUAAAAAAGUACAUUUGAAAUUGACAAUGUGACUUAACAAUUUUUGAGAUACAAAUUAAAGUAAUGUGUUGAAUCCAAGUACACUAAGUGAAAUAUUUUCAACAAUGCCUUGUCAAAAUGGCAAAAAAGUUUCGUUAUUAGCAUUUGACGAUAAUUAUCAUGCACUCUUUCUUAAUGGAAAGACAGUAAACAAAAGAAGAGUAUGUGGUGAUUAUCUGGAAUGUUAGCAAUAACCCUGAAGAAAAAUAUGAUAAUAGGCGAUUAAAAAUGCAUAAGGUGCGGUGAAAAUACUAAACAAUACAUAAAAAUAAUGAUCCUUGGAGGGUCAUUCAAUUUAUUAGCAAAAGCAAGCCUGUGGAUACAUGGUCAUAUCAAUCAAUUUCAUUACACAAGCACAAUCUCCACACAAAUUACAGUUCUAUUUAUACCAAAUCAAUUAGCACUUUUUAUUGCAUAUGCAUCUACGACGGAAGCCAUGACAUUCGCCUCCAAUAAAUUUUUCCGUUUUGCAGGUGUUUUUACAGUUGGUAGACGAAAAGCACAUCCCCUUGAACUUGCCGCUUGUAGCCUCGCAUGUCCUUUCCUUAACUGCCUUGCCUGACUUGCUCCUUGCCUCAACACCCAUUGGCCCCAUCUCUGUCAAAUCGAAUUACAUUAAAUAUAAAUAUUUUGUUUUUUGUCAAAUGAGACUCUUUAUUCGAAACAUCAUAAGAAAUUAAUUAUUAAUAAGAGAUAUAAUUACCGGUAGCGGAAAAAAGUAGGACAAGGAUGAAGGUGGCUGAAACAAGACGCAUUGAAUGCUCAAUUUGAAUUUAUUUGUAUGUGAUAUGUGUGCUUGUGUAUGAUAAGAGAGAUCUCAGACGCUAAUGCAAAGAACAAUAACCAUGCAAGACUUAUUAUAUAGGAAUCUAGGGCAAAUUAAAGAGUGUUGGUCUCCGUAAAAAGAGGUAGCUUAUACUUAACCAACAGUGAAUUAUUUCAGCUAGUUCCACACUAGCACCAAAGUACAUGCGUCCAUGCACCCACUAAUAAUUAAGUGAUAAGUGACCAGCUCAUCACUAGCUUAAUUAAUUAGAUAAUUAACAAUUUUUUUGUGCAAAAGCAUCUGCGGCUUAAACCCAAGAACGACCACCAGUAAAGCCCUUAGUUUGGGAAACAACUGCAAAGUUACUUUUACUCACGCAAGUUCCAUUGAAGCGGUUAGUCUUGAGAUUCACAGGUUCUACCUUCAGCAACUUUUCCUCCUUUAAACAAUUAUUCCAAACAAAAUAAGGUUACAAUGCAUGCUUAUAAUCAUGUAUAAUACAUACAUACAUAUAUAUAUAUAUAUAUUCAUACUACAGCAAUACAUCAGGGACGAAGUUUGAGAUCGAUUUGACUCGGGAUAUCUUAAAAAACAAAGUCAUAAAUUAAAAGGCUUAAGAAUUAACUAACAAAGGACAUAUAUUAAUCCAUAAAAUAUUUCAUACAACAUAUUACAAUAUCUCACAAUGCAUUUUAAGUUUUGAAAGCUUUGCAUAACAACUUCAUUACCAAUACCUUCAAAUAUCUAUUCCUAUACAAAUAACCAUGUUAUCAUUCAUCCAUUAAUUUUCUUACGAUUUCUCAAUUGAUCCUUUAAAAAUUUCAUAACCUAAAAUGCUCUAUCACUUGAAAUUAUAAUAUGCAAUAUGUAUGAUUUUUUCACAAAAAACCGAGUUAGGGCAUCAGCCGCUUGGGCCGAAGGUGGCUCCAUUCUUGGCAAUACUCCACAUACUAUGCAGAAAAAUGAGAGAAAAUUAUGAAAGUGUUUUAAGAAAAAAAAAAUGUGGAAGAGUUUUAAAAUGUUAAUUAACAAGAAAAUAUUAAUCUUUAAGGACUAUUUCUUCUAAAAUAAAAUAAAAUAAAAAUAAACAAUUAAGUCUUUUCUUAAAAGUUCCUUAAGCAAUUUCGAACCUUUUCCUAAUUUUUUUUCUUGUGCAUUAACCUCACCUUGUCUUACAUAUAUUACAACUGGUUUAAAGGUCAAAAGAACUUAAUACAAUAGAAGGUGUGGCUAGAAAAGUACAUCUGAAAUCGACAAUGCGACUUAAAUAAUCUUUGUGACACAAAUAAAAGUAAUGUGUUGAAUCCAAGUAUACACUAAGUGAAAAAUUUCAACAAAAUGCCUUGUCAAAAUGAAACAAAAAAAAUUGUUAUUAGCAUUUAACAAUAAUUAUCUAUCACUCCUUCUUAAUUGAAAGUCAAUAAACAAAAGAAGAGUCUGUGGUGAUAAUCUGGAAUGUUAAUUAUAACUCUGAAGAAAAACAUAUAGGAUAAUAGGCGAUUAAAAGUACGUAAGGGGCAGUAAAAACACUACACUAGACAUAUGAAUAAUGAUCCAUGCACGGUCAUUCAAUUUAUUAGCAAAAGCAACCAUGUGGAUACAGGGCCAUAUCAAUCCAUCGCAUUACACAAGCACGGUUUCUACACAGAUUACGUUUAUUUUUAACAAAUUAAUUAGCACUUUUUGGUGCACACGCAUGUACGGGUCAAGCCACUACAUUUGCCUCUGGUGAAUUGCUCUUUUCUGCAGGUGUGUUUACAAUUGUUGGACGAAAAGCACAACCCUUUGAACAAGGUGCUCGGAACCUCGCAAAUCUUUCCCUCAAUUGCCUUGCUUGACUCAGUCCUUGCCUCAACACUCAUUGGCCCCAUCUCUAAAGAUCAAAAUUUUUUUUGUUAAAAAAGAUGCUUUAUUCGAAACAUCAUAAAAAAUUAAUGAUUAAAAGGAGGUAUAAUUACCGGUAGCAGCAAAAAACAUGACAAGAAUGAAGGCGGCUGAAACCAGACGCAUUGAACGCUCCAUUUGAAUCUGUGUGUUUGUGACUUGAACUGUGUGUUUCUGUGUGUGUGCUUGUGUGUGAUAAGAGAGAUCUUAGACGCUGAUGCAAAGAACAAUAACCAUGGAAGGCUUUUUAUAUAAGGAUGUAGCGCAACUUAAAGAGGAUCGGUCAGCGUAAAGCGAGGUUGCUCCACACCCAAAAUACAAAGUUGAAAUUUCCAACCUAAGAGGCACCGUAAACAAAAUUUCUAUUUUUGAUGACUAAGUUAUCCGCCAUACAUUUUUCUAUGCAUAUUAGGGUUUCUUUUUCGAGCACAUUUAACUUUUGCUUUUAAAAGAAUAUUUGGGUUUUAACUUUUAAGCAAAUUUGACUUAUUAUUCACAUUUUUAUAUGUAAAUGAAGCGGCAUAUAUAUAUCUCACAUAAAACACCAUAGUUCUUAUCAUGAUUUGCACAUUAGGUGUAGACGAAGAUUAUGUUGCUUUCGGUAACGUGGUUAAGCCUAAUAAAAAGGGAACUUUAACGAAAAACACCCGGUACUGUUCACUUUAACGAAAAACUACAUUUUUACACUAAAAAGUCAAUCAUGGUACUAUUCACUUUACCCUUUAUUUUGUCCUUAUCAUUAAAACUCAAAGUUUUCAAGCCCUUUUCAUUAGUUUUCCUUAAUAUGUUAAAGUAGAACCUUGAGGAAAUGAUGGUUAAUUGUAUUUUGUAGGGCAUUACAAGGAAUUAAAUUUGUUGAUAAAUAAGAAGUUACACAGUACGACAUACUGUACGAAGUAACUCAUGACGGUGAUACUUAAUAAACAAAAAUAUUGUCCGUUUAUCGUACAUCGUGCAGUCAGUUUUUAUUAAGUACUAUUUAUGUUUAUUGUUAAAUAAAAAUAUUUAAAAUAAUUUCUGACCGCACAAUGUACGAUGAACAGACACGAAAAACCAUAACAGAGAUACGAUAUUAAUUAAUAACCCAACAGUGAAUUAUUCCAGCUAGUUCCACACUAGCACCAAAGUACAUGCGUCCAUGCACCCACUAAUAAUUAAGUGAUAAGUGAUCAGCCCAUCACUAGCUUAAUUAAUUAGCCAAUUAACUAUUUUUUUGUGCAAAAGCAUCUGCGGCAUAAACCCAAGAACCAGCCACUAGGGAAGCCCUUAGUUUGACAAACAACUACACAAUUACUUUUACUCACGCAAGUUCCAUUGACGCGGUUACUCUGAAACUCGCAGGUCCUACCCUCACCAACUGUCGUCCAUUUAAACAAUUAUUUCAAACAAAAUAAGGUUACUAUGCAUGCUUAUAAUCGUAAUAUAUAUAUAUAUAUAUAUAUAUAUAUAUAUAUAUUAACGAUGAAGAUAGUUAACAAGAUCGAGCAAGAAGAAAUACUACCGCUUGCAACCAAAAGUAGCAGGUAGAAGCAGAUAGUUGGGAGAAAACGCAUGGAACGCUCUUUAUGUGUAUAUAACUAGUUUACACUUAAGAUUUCGAACUUAGGGUAACUUAGAAUGACACCAUUGAUAUAUAUAUAUAUAUAUAUAUAAGCUCUUAUAAAUUCAAACAAUAGCAAUAUAUCAGGGAUGAAGUCUGAGAUCUAUAUGAAUUGGGACAUCCUAAAAAAUAGUCAUACAUUAAAAAGCUUAAGAAUUACAAUAUCACACAACGCAUUUUUAAGUUUUGAAAGCAUUGCAUAACAAUUUUAUUACCAAUACCAUCAAAUAUUUGUUCCUAUAAAAAUUACAAUGUUAUCAUUCAUCCACCAAUGUUUUUACAAUCUCUCAAUUGAUCAUUUAGAAAUUUCAUAACCGAAAAUGUUCUAUUAUGUGAAAUUAUAAUAUGCAAUAUAUACAAUUAUUGCAUCAGCCCCUUGGGCCCAAGGUGGCUCCGUUCCUGGCAAUACCACACAUACUAUGCAGAAAAGUGAGGGAAAAAUAUUAAAGUGCUUUAGGAAAAAAAAUAUGGAAGAGUCUUUUAAAAUGUUACCAAGAAAAUAUCAAUCCUUAAGGACAAUUUCCUCUAAAAUAAAAUAAAAUAAAAAUAAACAAUUAAGUCUUUGCUAAAAAGUUGCUUAAGCAAUUUCGAACCUUUUCCUAAUUUUUGUUUUCUCGUGCAUCAACCUCACCUUGUUUUACAUAUAUUACUACUGGUUUAAAAGUCAAAAGAAUAUAAUACAACAGAACGUGUGGAUAGAAAAGUACAUCUGAAAUCGACAAUUCAUGCGACUUAAAUAAUCUUUGUGACACAAAUUAAAGUAAUGUGUUGAAUAUAAGUACACUAAGUGAAAAUUUUAAACAAAAUGCCUUGUCAAAACGGAAAAAAAAAAUUGUUAUUAGCAUUUGACUAUAAUUAUCCAUCACUCUUUCUUUAUUGAAAGUCAAUAAACGAAAGAAGAGUAUGUGGUGACUAUCUAGAAUGUUAAUAAUAACCCUAAAGAAAAACAUACAAGAUAAUAGGCGAUAGUAGGCGAUUAAAAGUACAUAAGGCGCGGUGAAAACACUACACUAGACAUAUGAAUAAUGAUCCAUGCAGGGUCAUUCAAUUUAUUAGCAAAAGCAACCAUGUGGAUACAGGGUCAAAUCAAUUCAUAGCAUUACACAAGCACGGUCUCUACAGAGAUUACAUUUCUUUUUAACUAAUUAAUUAACACUUUUUGGUGCACAUGCAUGUACGGGUCAAGCCACUACAUUUGCCUCUGGUGAAUUGCUCCUUUCUGCAGGUGUGUUUACAGUUGUUAGAGGAAAAGCACAACCCCUUGAACAAGGUGCUCGGAACCUCACAAAUCUUUCCCUCAACUGCCUUGCUUGACUCAGUCCUUGCCUCAACACUCAUUGGCCCCAUCUCUAAUGAUCAAAUAUUUUUUGUUGAAUAAGAUGCUUUAUUCAAAACAUCAUAAAAAUUUAAUUAUUAAAAAGAGGUAUAAUUACCGGUUGUGGCCAAAAGCAUAACAACAACGAAGGCGGCUGAAACAAGACGCAUUGAACGCUCCAUUUGAAUCUGCGUGUAUGUAAGUAUGUGCUUGAUCCGCGUGUUUCUGUGUGUGUGCUUGUGUGUGAUAAGAGAGAUCUUAGACGCUGAUAGAAAAAAAAAUAACCAUGGAAGGCUUUUUAUAUAGGGGUCUAGCGCAUAUUAAAGAGGAUCUGUCUCCAUAAAGCGAGGUAGCUCCACACCCAAAAUACAAAGUUGAAAUUUCCAACUUAAGAGGCACCAUAAACAAAAUUUCUAUUUUUGAUGACUAAGUUCUCCGCCAUACAUUUUUCUAUACAUAUUAAGGUUUCUUCUUCAAGCACAUUUAACUUUUGCUUUUAAAAGAAUAUUUGGGUUAAGCACAUUUGACUUAUUAUUCACAUUUUUAUAUGUAAAUGAAGCGGCAUACAUACAUACAUACAUACAUACAUACAUACAUAUAUAUAUAUAUAUAUAUAUCUCACAUAAAAGACCAUAUUUGUAUGUUUUUUACACAAGUUUUGGUCUGUCUGUACCAAAUUAAUCUAAAUUAUAUAGAUCAGGAUUUGCACAUUAGGUGUAGACGAAGAUUACGUUGUUUUAGGUAACAUGGCUAAGCCUAAUAAAAAAGGAAAACUAUAAAAAUGGCUUGAAAACUUUGAGUUUUAAUGAUAAUGACAAAAUAAAGGGUAAGGUGAAUAGUACAUAAUUGACUUUUUAGUGUAAAAAUGUAGUUUAUUUUUCGUUAAAGUAAACAGUACCGGGAGAUUUUCGUUAAAGUUCCCUAAUAAAAAUGAAUAUUAAAGUAGAACCUCUAGGAAAUGAUGAUUAAUUGUAUUUCGUAGGGCAUUACAAAGACUUAAAUUUGUUGACAAAUAAGUAGUUACGCAGUACGACAUACUAUACAAAGUAACUCACGACGGCGAUACUUAACUAAUAAGAACAUUAAAAACCAUAACAGAGAUACGAUAUUAAUUAACAACCCGACAAUGAAUUAUUCCAGCUAGUUACACACUAGCACUAAAGUACAUGCGUCCAUGCACCCCAUUACUUAUUAAGUGAUAAGUGAUCAGCAUCACUAGCUUAGUUAAUUAGCUAUUUAACUAUUUUUAGGCACAAGCAUCUGCGACGUAAACCCAAGAACCAGCUACCAGUGAAGCCUUUAGUUUGGCAAACAACUGCAAAGUUACUUUUACUCAUGCAAUUUCCAGGGAAGCGGUUACUUUGAGAUUCGCAGGUCCUACCCUCAACAACUUUCGUCCCUUUAAACAAUUAUUCCAAACAAAAUAAGGUUACUAUGCAUGCUUAUAAUCGGAAUAAUAUAUAUAUAUUAACGAUGAAGUAAGUUAACAAGAUCGAGCAAGAAGAAAUACUACCGCCGGCGACCAAAAGCAGCAGGAAGAAGCAGAUAGUUGGGAGAAAACGCAUGGAACGCUUUUUAUGUAUAUAUAACAAGUUUACAUAUAAGAUUUCGAACUUAGGGCAACUUAGAAUGACACCAUUGAUAUAUAUCGUUAUAUAUAUAAGCUCUUAUAAAUUCAUACCAUAGCAAUACACCAGGGACGAAAUCUGAGUUCUAUAUGAAUUGGGACAUCCUAAAAAAUAAAGUCAUAAUUAAAAAGUAAGAAUUAACUAACAAUGCACAUAUAUUAAUCCAUAAAAUAUGUCAUACAUCAUAUUAUAAUAUCUCACAACGCAUUUCUAAGUUUUGAGCGUUGCUUAAUAAUUUAAUUACCAAUACCAUCAAAUAUUUGUUCCUAUAAAAAUAACCAUGUUUUCAUUCAUCUAUUAAUUUUCUUAUGAUUUCUUAAUUGAUACUUUAAAAAUUUCCGAAAAUACUUUAUCACGUGAAAUUAUAAUAUGCAAUAUGUACAAUUUUUUCAUAAAUAACUGAAUUAGGGCAUCAGCCCGUUGGGCCUAAGGUGGCUCAUAUGUUGGCAAUACCACACAUACUAUGUAGAAAAGUGAGAAAAAUACGAAAGUAUUUUAAAAGUGAGAGAAAAAUAUGAAAGUAUUUUAAGAAAAAAAAUUUGGAAGGGUCUUUUAAAGUGUUAUCAAGAAAAUAUCAAUCCUUAAGGACAAUUUCUUCUAAAAUAAAAUAAAAUAAAAAUAAACAAUUAAUAAGUCUUUGCUUAAAAGUUGCUUAACCAAUUUCGAACCUUUUCCUUUUUUUUUUCUUGUGCAUCAACCUCACCUUGUCUUACAUAUAUUACUACUGGUUUAAAAGUCAAAAGAACAUAAUACAACAGAAGGUGUGGAUAGAAAAGUACGUCUGAAAUCGACAAUGCGACUUAAAUAAUCUUUGUAACACAAAUUAAAGUAAUGCGUUGAAUCCAAGUACACUAAGUGAAAAUUUUCAAUAAAAUGCCUUGUCAAAACGGAAAAAAAAUAAAUUGUUAUUAGCAUUUGACGAUAAUUAUCUAUCACUCUUUCUUAAUUGAAAGUCAAUAAUCAAUAAUUAUCUAUCUAUCAUUGCGCGAGAAGAAGAAAGUAGCAGCCACUUCGGCCCUUCACAGCAGCGACCUUCCAAUCCACAACAAUGACUAAGAGGACGAAGAAGGCCGGUAUCGUUGGGAAAUAUGGAACCCGUUACGGUGCUAGUCUGCGUAAGCAGAUUAAGAAAAUGGAAGUCAGUCAGCACAGCAAGUAUUUCUGUGAAUUCUGUGGCAAGUAUGCUGUGAAGAGAAAGGCUGUUGGAAUCUGGGGAUGUAAGGACUGCGGAAAAGUUAAGGCGGGCGGUGCCUACACCUUGAACACUGCUAGUGCUGUGACGGUUAGGAGCACCAUUAGGAGGCUGAGGGAGCAAACCGAGAGUUAAGCUGCUGUUGGUGGCCUCUACCACUCUAUGAGCGUCUUGCAGCUAUGGAUAUCUCAAACAGUUUUGGGGAUGGUUCUCCUUUUGUUUGCUUAUAUUAUUUUGAAGAACUCGUUAGAUGCAUGUUGACUCAUUGUAGUGUGUUUAAUCUGAGAUCUUAGCUUCCACCUUUGAAUUCAGAAUGCAGUUUAAUAGUUAAAAAAAAAAAAAAAAAAAAAAAAGUCAAUAAACGAAAGAAGAGUUCAUGGUGACUGGAAUGUUAAUAAUAACCCUAACGAAAAGCAUAUAGGAUAAUAGACGAUUAAAAGUACGUAAGGUGCAGUGAAAACACUACACUAGACAUAUGAAUAAUGAUCUAUGCAGGGUCAUUCAAUUUAUUAGCAAAAGCAACCAUGUGGAUACAGGGUCAUAUCAAUCCAUCACAUUACACAAGCACGGUCUCUACAGAGAUUACAUUUCUUUUUAACUAAUUAAUUAACACUUUUUGGUGCACAUGCAUGUACGGGUCAAGCCACUACAUUUGCCUCUGGUGAAUUGCUCCUUUCUGCAGGUGUGUUUACAGUUGUUAGAGGAAAAGCACAACCCCUUGAACAAGGUGCUCGGAACCUCGCAGAUUUUUCCCUCAACUGCCUUGUUUGACUCAGUCAUUGCCUCAACACUUAUUGGCCCCAUCUCUAAUGAUCAAAAUUUUGUUGUUGAAUAAGAUGCUUUAUUCGAAACAUCAUAAAAAAUUAAUGAUAAUAAAGGGGUAUAAUUACCGGUAGCGGCCAAAAGUAGAACAAGAACGCAAACGGCUGAAACAAGACGCAUUGAACGCUCCAUUUGAAUCUGAGUGUAUGUGAGUAUGUGCUUGAUCCGUGUGUUUCUGUGUGUGUGCUUGAUUGUGAUAAGAGAGAUCUUAGCCGCUGAUGCAAAGAACAAUAACCAUGGAAGGCUUUUUAUACAGGGGUCUAGCCCAUAUUAAAAAGGAUUGGUCUCCGUAAAGCAAGGUAGCUCCAUACCCAAAAUACAAAGUUGAAAUUUCCAACUUAAGAGGCACCAUAAACAAAAUUUCUAAUUUUGAUGACUAAGUUCUCCGCCAUACAUUUUUCUAUGCAUACUAGGGUUUCUUUUUCAAGCACAUUUAACUUUUGCUUUUAAAAGAAUAGUUGGGUUAUAAGCACAUUUGACUUAUUAUUCAAAUUUUUAUAUGUAAAUGAAGUGGUGUGUGUGUGUGUGUGUAUCUCACAUAAAAGUCCAUAUUUCUUAUAACAAUAUAAUUGUUUUUUACACAAGUUUUAGUUUGUCUGUACCAAAUUAAUCUAAAUUAUAUAGAUCAGGAUUUGCACAUUAGGUGUAGACGAAGAUUACGUUGCUUUAGGUAACGUGGCUAAGCCUAAUAAAAAUGGAUGCUAAAGUCGAACCCUGAGGAAAUGAUGAUUAAUUGUAUUUCGUAGGGCAUUACAAAGACUUAAAUUUGUUGACAAAUAAGAAGUUACGCAGUAUGACGUAUUGUACAAAGUAACCCACAACGGUGAUACUUAACAAACAUGAACAUAAAAAACCAUAACAGAGAUACGAUGUCAAUUAAUCACCCAACAGUGAGUUAUUCCAACUAGUUCCACACUAGCACCAAAUUACGUGCAUCUAUGCACCACUAAUAAUUAAGUGAUAGUGAUAAGUGAUCAGCUCAUCACUAGCUUAAUUAAUUAGCUAAUUCACCAUUUUUUUGUGCAAAAGCAUCUGCGGCGUAAACCCAAGAACCAGCCACCAGUGAAGUGGUUACUCCAAGACUCGCAAGUCCUACCCUCAGCAAUUGUUGUCCCUUUGAACAAUUAUUCCAAACAAAAUAAGGUUACUAUGCAUGGUUAUAAACGGAAUAAUAUAUAUAGCAGAUAGUUGGGAGAAAACGCAUGGAACGCUUUUUAUGUAUAUAUAACAAGUUUACACUUAAGAUUUCGAACUUAGGGUAACUUAGAAUGACUAUUGAUAUAUAUAUAAGCUCUUAUAAAGUCAUACUAUAGCAAUACAUGAGAGACGAAGUUUGAGAUCGAUUUGACUUAGGACAUCCUAAAAAUAAAGUCAUAAAUUAAAAAGCUUAAGAAUUAACUAACAAAGCACAUAUAAUAAAUCAUAAAAUAUUUCAUACAACAUAGUACAAUAUCUCACAACGCAUUUUUAAGUUUUGAAAGCGUUGCAUAACAAUUUCAUUACCAAUAUCAUCAAAUAUCUAUUCCUAUCAAAAUAAUCAUGUUAUCAUUCAUCCAUUAAUUUUCUUACGAUUUAUCAUUUGAUCAUUUAGAAAUUUCAUAGCCGAAAAUACUCUAUGACAUGAAAUUAUAAUAUGCAAUAUAUGUAAAAAAAUUCACAAAAAACGAAGUUUGGGCAUCAGCUCCUUGGGCCAAGGUGGCUCCGUUCUUGGCAAUAUUACACAUACCAUGCAGAAAAGCGAGAGAAAAAUAUGAAAGUGUUGUAAGAAAGAAAAAAAUGUGGAAAAAGUCUUUUAAAAUGUUAUGAAGAAAAUAUUAAUCUUUAAGGACUAUUUCUUCUAAAAAAAUUAAAAAAAAACGAUGAAGUCUUUGCUUAAAAAUUGCUUAAGCAAUUUCGAACCUUUUUCUAAUUUUUUUUUCUUGUGCAUCAACCUCACCUUGUCUUAGAUAUAUUACUACUAGUUUAAAAGUCAAAGAACUUAAUACAACCGAAGGUGUCGAUAAAAAAAUACAUCUAAAAUCGACAAUGCUACUUAAAUAGUCUUUGUGACACAAAUUAAAGAAAUGUGUUGAAUCCAAGUACACUACGUGAAAUUUUUCAACAAAAAUGCCUUUUCAAAACGGAAAAAAAUAUAUUGUUAUUAGCAUUUGGCGAUAAUUAUCUAUCACUCUUUCUUAAUUGAAAGUCAAUAAAUGAAAGUAGAGUCUGUGGUGACUAUUUGGAAUGUUAAUAAUAACCCUGAAGAAAAACAUACAUGAUAGGCGAUUAAAAGUACAUAGGGCGUGGUGAAAACACUACACUAGACAUAUGAAUAAUGAUCAAUGUAGGGUCAUUCAAUUUAUUAGCAAAAGCAACCAUGUGAAUACAAGGCCAUAUCAAUCCAUCGCAUUACACAAACAUGGUCUCUACACAGAUUACAUUUCUUUUUAACAAAUUAAUUAGCACUUUUUGGUGCACAUGCAUGUACAGGUCAAGCCACUACAUUUCCCUCUGGUGAAUUGCUCCUUUUUGCAAGUGUGUUUACAAUUGUUAGAGGAAAAGCACAACCCCUUGAACAACGUGCUAGGAACCUCGCAAAUCUUUCCCUCAACUGCCUUGCUUGACUCAGUCCUAACCUCAACACUCAUUGGCCCCAUCUCUAAAGAUCAAAGUUUUUUGUUGAAUAAGAUGCUUUAUUCGAAACAUCAUAAAAAAUUAAUUAUUAAAAAGAGGUAUAAUUACCGGUAGCGGCCAAAAG